ACAUUUGUGAAUUAUGUGGUCAUAACAUUGCAACUCACGAAUACACAUUUCAAAUAGAUGAUGGAUAUCAAGUAAGUCCUGCUACUUGCUGUACUAACAAUGCAUAGUUCUUUUAGUGAAAUAGUUUGUUUUAUCAUUCUCUGUUAACUGUAGGAAUAUGAAAUGAAUUGCAAAUUGUGUGGAUUUGGUCAAGACAGAGUUUGUAUAAUGCCUGACGACCCUGAGAAAUGUCGCGGAGAAUUCUGAUAUUGUAUCCUGAACUAACUAGUGUCUCGGAUUGUCACAGAGUGGGUUGUUCCAGAAAAGAUCCACCCUGCUCCCAAAGAGGGAAUUUCUGAGGGGCGGGGAGGGUGAGAAACAUUUGUGGUAAUAGUAAGUGUAUUAGGACAUCCCAAGUGCGGAGAAAAUUGUCAGUUAACCCCUACCCGGGGUGUGGAUAUUUUCUGGAAUGACCCAUUCUAAUCUGUUCCACAUCUGCUAUUUCCUUGGUAAUUAGUGAGAGAACUGGGAAUAUUGCAACAUAAUUAUUAGCUAGACAUCCAUAUUAAUAUAUGGUGCAUAAUAUCCGUGAAUAUUGCCUUAUAAAAGUGAAGAAAAGUGUUCAAGUAGUACAUAUAUGUGGAUGUGAUUUGUGUAUAAUAUUAAACAAUGUACUGUUACAAGCUAACAGGGUCAAUAUAUAACCAACAUAAUGGAGAUUACAUGCAUAGAUCAAAAUAAUGUUUAUUCUUUUAGAAUUUAAACUAUGUGCAAAAAAGUUAAUUGUUAAAAACAGUAAACCAUCAAGACAUUAUCUUGUCUUUGUACACUAGGUACCAGAUUGGUAGCAGCAAUGAUGGGAUUAUUAACUGCCAUAUCAAUGUGCUACUCUGCAUUUAGAUAGUUGACUCUAAUUUCUAACACCAGAUGUUAUUAUAAUUUUGUAAUUGAAGUAAUUUUUAAAUUGGUAGAAAAAAGUGAAAAGCGAACGAAAAUGCGCAAAAUCCGCACAUUGUGAUGAAAAAUUCGAAAUGAGAUCAUUCUAGCGCUUGUACUGUUCAUUAAAAAUCAUCAGGAAAUAAUUCAUAAGGGAAAGAAAACCGUGUUUAAUAGUGGUUUUAUACGUAUCAAAAAUUAUAUUCAUUUGCAUAAAUUUAGCUUUGAUUUUCUCGAUUUAGAACGUUGAUUUUUAAAAUUACUUCGCCAAUGAACCCAUAAGAUGGGUCGUUUUUGAAGCCAU
rnacentral:lncRNA from 1 species